CCUACGGGAGGCAGCAGUGAGGAAUAUUGGUCAAUGGGCGCGAGCCUGAACCAGCCAAGUCGCGUGAGGGAAGACGGCCCUACGGGUUGUAAACCUCUUUUGCCGGGGAGCAACGGGCGCCACGUGUGGCUCCACUGCGAGUACCCGGAGAAAAAGCAUCGGCUAACUCCGUGCCAGCAGCCGCGGUAAUACGGAGGGUGCGAGCGUUAUCCGGAUUUAUUGGGUUUAAAGGGUGCGUAGGCGGGGCGUUAAGUCAGUGGUCAAAUUUGGGGGCUCAACCCCUUACCGGCAAUUGAAACUGGCGCUCUUGAGUGGAGGAGAGGUAUGCGGAAUGCGUGGUGUAGCGGUGAAAUGCAUAGAUAUCACGCAGAACCCCGAUUGCGAAGGCAGCAUGCCGGCUUCCGACUGACGCUGAAGCACGAAAGCGUGGGGAUCGAACAGGAUUAGAUACCCGUGUAGUC
rnacentral:rRNA from 1 species